CACCUUUCCGCUUUGGUAAUCAUAGGUUUGUUUUCAAAGUCUGUGUGUCUGUUUUUGUUGUGUAAAUAAGUUCAUUUGUGUCGCUUUUUUAGAUUCCACAAAUAAGUGCUAUCAUAUGAUAUUUGUCUUUGACUUAUGCUUCACUUAGUAUGAUUAUUUCUAUUUGCAUACAUAUUGGUGCAAAUGGCAUGAUCUCGUUUUUUUAUGGCUGAAUAAUAGUCCAUUGUGUAUAUAUAUACAUGUAUAUAUAUAUAUGUAUCUUAUCUUCUUUGUUCAUUGCCCUGUCUAUGGAGAUUUAGAUUUUUGAAACCAGAAUAUUUUUGGAUAGUUUUAGUGUUUGCUUAAAUAUUAGUGAAAAUCAGCCUCCCACAUUUUUCCAUUUAUUUUUUUUUUACCCAGAAGUGAUCAGCUUUCUGUCUAUACUAUGAAAACACUGAAUCUUCCUUUCAUUGUCCAUCUCUUGGAAUCAUGAAGUGUCCUUUUCCUUUCUGCGUCCCUUUCUUCCAGAGAAAACCUUUUCUGUCUCCUUUUGCCAUUACUCAUAACGUACAGUUUUCAAACCCCCAUCAUCCUUACCCUACCUCUCCCCCACUUCUCCUUUGACUAUACUUCAACUAGUCUGUGUCCCUCUUAAAAAGAGGUCUACCAAGUAUGGGAGGGACCCUAAUAUCCCUCAUCCUGGAGGGCUGGAGUAGUGUGACUAACGGUAAGGGCUUCAGAGCAGAUGAGAUCCAGGCACAAAUUCUACCCUUACUUAGCUCCCUUGAGGUUACUAAGCAGGUUCUCUAAGUCUCAGUUUUCUCAUCUGUGAAAUAAGAAUGGGAGGGAAGGAGUUCCUGUCUUGGCUCAGUGAUUAACAAAUCUGACUAGGAACCAUGAGGUUGCAGGUUCGAUCCCUGGCCUCGCUCAGUGGGUUAAGGAUCCGGUGUUGCCGUGAGCUGUGGUGUAGGUUACAGACACGGCUCGGAUCUGGCGUUGCUAUGGCUCUGGAAUAGGCUGGUGGCUACAGCUCCAAUUAGACCCUAGCCUGAGAACCUCCAUAUGCCACAGGAGUGGCCCUAGAAAAGGCCAAAAGACAAAACAACAACAACAACAAAAAAAAACAAACAAAAAACAAACAGACAAAAAGAAUGGGAGGGAAAAUGGUAAUCAAGUACAUAAACUACUUGGCUGAGUUUGAUCAUACCUCACUCCCCAUGAUUUCUUCCCAAUUGAGGUGGGUAUAAACCAGGAAAAAUUAUCAGCCUUAUCACUAGUAAAGCUGAACUAAAUCAGAAUAAAUGGUGCUGAUCCUAAAUGACCUUCCUAGUAGUUUUUCAUUUGUCUAGAUGGUGAAUUAAUUCCUAUAGUUAUUUUUUGUCCUAACUGCUCUUAAACCAGGUUAACCUAUUUUUCCUUCAUCUAUUGAUGAAGCAAAUAAUUAUAUAAAUCUAGUGUAAGAUUAUAUUAUACAUACCUGUGUUUCCUUUUAAAAUAUGGUUUAAUUAUUCUUGCAUGAUUUUCUUUUGGAAUUAAUUUUCUAUAGUUGAAGCAAUAGGGUAUCCCACCAAGAGUUUUUUCAUUUUUCAAUUCAGUAAGUUCACUUUUUAGAGUUCCUUUUAUGCCAUUUAAUACAAAUGUUGAUCAGUGAAUGGUCAAUAGCAGAAUUACAGUGUACAUCAUUGGCGUUUUGCUAUAUACAUUGAUUGCUUGAGUAAGACGUAAGUUAUGACUAAGCCUACUUCAUCUUAGUCCUGUUUCCUCAUCUUAUAAACAAGAAUAUUGUUAGAGAUACUACCAGAUCUCUGGUUUGAAUCAUAUUGCACUGUGUCCACAGCUUUGCCUUGCUAUGUCAGUAUAGUAUUCCUAUUUUUAAAGUCCCAUUCCUUAUCCAUAGGGUACCUGUGAAUACCAUAGUAUAUCUUAGCAAUCCUCCAGUGCUUGCUACAUCCUUUUCUAAAUGCUCAAGAAAAACAAUUUUGGAAGUUUGCAAGGAUCCAUAUCAAGCCAGUUUGUAGGUCUGAAAUCUACCUUGUGAACUUCAAAUCUACAAAGUUUUCUCCAUAUGCUAAGAAAUCAUUUAUAGGGGGCUAGAGACUCAGCUUCAUUAAAAUAUUGGGUGUUUACUUACUAUCAUUUUCCUUAUCUUGGGCUCCGGUUUUAUUUUAACCCUAUCUGUUUUACACUUUCCAGGGCAAAGAUGAUCCUUUUUUAUACCAUACCUGGAAAAAUGUAAUUCUGCUUCCUAUUAGCAUUUAACUAUUUGGCCCAAACAGUAGGUCAAACCUUUUUUUUUUUUUUUCCCGAACAUCUAGCCUCUUGAUACAUAGAUGGAAAAUCUUUCUGGUAGUUAUCUCUAACUUUAAGUACAAAGGUUUUUUUUUUUGUUUGUUUUUUUACCUUUGACUUUCAUGGCAAUAUUUGUACUACCCUUGUAUUUAUUUGUUAUAAGUCUUUUAUCAUCAUCACCUCACACCAAACCAAGAAAAGCAAAACCACAAAAGACCUAGGGUAUUUAUCAUGUUGCCAAAUUUCUCUUUUGGUAGAUAACUGUGACUAAUAGAUAUUAUUAUUGUUAUUAUUUUAUUCAAACUUAUUUCACUAUUAUGUCACACACAUUUAUUAAUCUCCAGAAAUGGAAUUAUAUCAAUAAGUUAUUUAACAUUGACUUUUAUGAAAUUUUAACAAAAUUUUACCUACAACUGUCCCAGUACUGUUUUAAUUUCUAAGAUAUUGUAGUCACUUUUUCAUGUAUUUGCAUUAUCAAUUUAUUUUUCAUUUUGCUGGUAAAACAGUAAAACUUGCACCAGCGGUUUCUUCCUUAUAAAAGGACAAUUUAUUAAAAAGAAAUUUAAUAAUUUAUAAAAUCUCAAAAUGGCAAAAUGAAGGUGUAUAUAACAUGGUAUGUUAUGCAAGCAUUAAGAUAUUUAUGAAAAGAUUUAAAUAAUGUAAUAUAGUAGUAUGAAUGAAAAUUAUGUACAGUUAUGUACUUGAAAAAGAUGAAGGUACCAAAAUAUUUAUUGGGUGAUUUAUGUGCUCUUAUCUUUAUGAUUAUUAAAUACAAUUACUUGAUUUUUUAAAAAAUAUUUUUAUUAUAGAAUCUAUAAAAUAAAUCCAUUAUCAUUGUAAAUGAAUUAAUCACAACCACACAUACUAAACUAUGAAGGUAUCUUCGUACUAACUAUUCUUUACUUUUAGUCUAUUCAAUGCCAACAUAGGUAACUAUGCUUAAGAGGUAGAAUGAUAAAUGAAAUUUUCAGUUUUGCUUAUGUUUGUUGCUUUAUUUAAGUUUUUACCAUCUCUCAAAUCAAAUUUGAUUAUUUGUAUUUUCCUGAAACACAUUACUUCUCAUCCUGCUUAUUUUUGUGUACAUGAUCUUUCUCUUUCUGAAUGUCUGUUUUCAACUCUGACUCCAUCUCUGUCUUUCUCUGCUUCUGUCACUAGCUCCCUCUUUGUAUUCCUCCAGCUCUCUCUGAGUGAUGAAAAUGGAUAGAUAGAUAGAAAGAUGCUUACAUGAUGUUCAGUACCAAUGCUCCACUUUUUUACCAGGUAUUUAUUACAUGCACAAAGUGCAGAGCUCUAGAGGCAUGUUCUAAUUCUAUGCCCCAGGCUAUUCAAGACACAUGUGGAUGAUACAUAUGAGAUGUUAUUAUUAAUAUGGAAAAACUUUAAGUUUUUUGAGCUUAUUACCCAUACUAUGCUAUGAGCAUAUACUUUUGUGUUUGCUGUUUUAACAACUGUUUCUGGGUCUCUAUCUUGCAUUCUCAUUAGAACUUCUAGACUUGUUCACCCUUCUUUCUCCUUCUCCCCUUUUCCUCUCCCCCUCCACUCCCCACUUCCUCUUUUGCCCUCCUCCUCUUCCUCAUCCUUCUUAUGGUUAAUAUUGUUGAUGCUUUUUGGUUUGCAAUUUCUCUUAGGCCCUUUUAUUCUUCCUCAGUUUUAAUUUGAGAUGUUUUGAUUGGUUUGGUCUCACCCCUCUUAAACAAGCUUUAUAUCCAUAGAAAGUGCAUUUUGUCUUGUCUGGUAGGCAGUUACCCUAAAGACUUAGAUCACUGUUUCUCAAAAACCAGUCAGUCUGAGUACCAACUUGCUCCCUUGGGUAUCAGCCUAACUUUUAUGAGACACCCACCCCAGAGCAACUGAGCACUGAUUGUUGGUGACAAGGCCCAGGAGUCUGCAUUUGAACAACUUUUGCAGGUGAUUAAUGUGUCCAACAAUGUUUGAGACCCAUUCCUCAAGAUUUGGUUCAGGAAACCAAAUCCCAUUCUGUAACAUCUUUUAGAUAGCCAACCCUGUCCUAUUUACUUUUCUCUCUCCCAUUUUCCUUCCCUCUCUCCUUCCUUCCCUCUUUCUUUCCCUCUGUCUACUUUCACAGGAUACUUCCCUGUCCACAAUCAGAAACCUGAGUUCAAGUGGAGAUAAAAUAUAAUUCCGGGGUCAACUCUAUCUAAAGAGGAUUUCGUAGACAGUAGAAAUGUAUCCCAGCUGUCUUAUGGUGUAAUUGCUUUAUUGUGAAUAAGUCGACACUUUAUUAAGAUAUAAAAUAUUGCACUGUGUGUCAAAACCCAUUCUAUAAAAAAAUUAUCUUCAUAACUAGUAGUGUCAUGAUUUCAGAGAACAACUUCCAUCGGUGUCAUUCUUUCUUUUUUUAAAUUUCUUCCGUUUCAGUUCCAGAAACUGUUAAUUCUACAUUAGGCAUCUAUUGUGUUAAUAAUUACAGGUUUUUUUAAAAAACAAUUUUAUAGAGAAAAACACAAAAAGUAAAAUUACAUAAAUAAUAUGAUAACUAUAUAAAAUAAGCAAGAGAAAAAAUGUACAGGAAAAAUUAGGAUAUAUUGACAAGUUAAUAAUAGUUGUCUCACUGAUGAACAAUUAAUUUUUUUCUUCUUCUUUCUCCUACUUUUUGGUAUUUAUAACUAUUCCUUACUGAAAAUAUCCUCAAAUGAAGAAAUCAACUUUAUUAUUUUAAUGGUCAUCUAAAUUCCAGAAUUAAAAGUAGGGUCAAAAAUUUUUCCUGUUUUUUUUUUUUUUAAACCCUAAAAAGAUGAUCUAAUUGGAUAGCCUACCUUUGGAAUUUGGAAAAUUUCUCACAAUUAAAUAAACUAAAUGUUGGUCUAUACACAAUUUUUUAAAAAGUAAUGCCAUUAUUUUGA
rnacentral:lncRNA from 1 species